CCUAACACAUGCAAGUCGAACGGUAACGGGCCGCUGGGAUUCCUUCGGGAUGACCUUGGUGCCGACGAGUGGCGGACGGGUGAGUAACACGUAGGAAUCUGCCAAACAGUGGGGGACAACCCGGAGAAAUCCGGGCUAAUACCGCAUACGCCCUACGGGGGAAAGCGGGGGACCUUCGGGCCUCGCGCUGUUUGAGGAGCCUGCGUCGGAUUAGCUUGUUGGUGAGGUAAAGGCUCACCAAGGCGACGAUCCGUAGC
rnacentral:rRNA from 1 species